rnacentral:rRNA from 1 species
CCCGCACAAGCAGUGGAGUAUGUGGUUAAUUCGAAGCAACGCGAAGAACCUUACCAGGUCUUGACAUCCCGAUGCUAUUUCUAGAGAUAGAAAGUUACUUCGGUACAUCGGUGACAGGUGGUGCAUGGUUGUCGUCAGCUCGUGUCGUGAGAUGUUGGGUUAAGUCCCGCAACGAGCGCAACCCCUAUUGUUAGUUGCCAUCAUUCAGUUGGGCACUCUAGCGAGACUGCCGGUAAUAAACCGGAGGAAGGUGGGGAUGACGUCAAAUCACCAUGCCCCUUAUGACCUGGGCUACACACGUGCUACAAUGGUUGGUACAACGAGUUGCGAGUCGGUGACGGCGAGCUAAUCUCUUAAAGCCAAUCUCAGUUCGGAUUGUAGGCUGCAACUCGCCUACAUGAAGUCGGAAUCGCUAGUAAUCGCGGAUCAGCACGCCGCGGUGAAUACGUUCCCGGGCCUU